GGAGGAUGUAACAAGUUCUGCCUGGGAUCGAAUCCUAGUUUUACUCCUUCUAGAGACAAACAUAGAAACACCUAACCUCAGAUCUUCAUCAAAGACCUCCCAGAGAUCCAACCCAGGCAGCAUCAAGGGAUCUUAGCCAUCAUCAACUCCACACUUUCUCCCAUAGGCUUGGCCUGCAGCUGCCCACGUGAACC